UACGUAGGGUGCGAGCGUUAAUCGGAAUUACUGGGCGUAAAGGGAGCGCAGGCGGAUAUAUAAGUUAGAUGUGAAAUCCCCGGGCUUAACCUGGGAACGGCAUUUAAGACUGUGUAUCUAGAGUUUAUCAGAGGGAGGCAGAAUUCCAGGUGUAGCAGUGAAAUGCGUAGAGAUCUGGAGGAAUACCGGUGGCGAAGGCGGCCUCCUGGGAUAGAACUGACGCUCAUGCUCGAAAGCGUGGGUAGCAAACAGG
rnacentral:rRNA from 1 species